rnacentral:rRNA from 1 species
GCACAACGCGAAGAACCUUACCAGGCCUUGACAUGCAGAGAACUUUCCAGAGAUGGAUUGGUGCCUUCGGGAACUCUGACACAGGUGCUGCAUGGCUGUCGUCAGCUCGUGUCGUGAGAUGUUGGGUUAAGUCCCGUAACGAGCGCGAACCCUGUCCUUAGUUACCAGCACGUCAUGGUGGGCACGUCUAAGGAGACUGCCGGUGACAAACCGGAGGAAGGUGGGAGUGACGUCAAGUCAUCAUGGCCCUUACGGCCUGGGACUACACACGUGCUACAAUGGUCGGUACAGAGGGUUGCCAAGCCGCGAGGUGGAGCUAAUCUCACAAAACCGAUCGUAGUCCGGAUCGCAGUCUGCAACUCGACUGCGUGAAGUCGGAAUCGCUAGUAAUCGCG